AUUAUUGUGACUGUACUCGAAUUAUUGUGUUACUUAUUAGACAAAAAGAAGAAAAAAAAAAGGUUCUAUUAUUAAUUAAGACAUAUAUUAAAAAUAUUCUCGUAGAUUGAAUUAAUAUCGAUACUCAUCAUCAUUUGAAAAACUAUCAUAUAACCAUCAAUGACGUUAUUCGAAAGAUUUAUUUCUAACGUAAUGAUAACCAUUGGAUGGAAAUUUGAAGGAAGCUUUUUAGGUCGUAUCAUCUUUAAUCCCCGAGAUCUUUCUGUGCCACCCCUAAAUAAAGAGAGAGAGAGAGUGAGAGAGAGAGAGAAUAAGAGAGAGAGAGAGAGAGAAAAGGCUUCGCAACAGCUGCAUGCUGAACCCUUUGCCCUAUUGGAAAGAAUUGAAUAAAGUUUAUAAGGAAGGUAAAAACAUCACCACCACGUACACCCCAGUUCUGAGAUGGCGUAUAAGCGGGGAAAAAGAAGUACGCAGCGAUCAAGAACGAGAGAGAAAGAGACAGAGAGACAGACAGAGAGAAAGAGAGAGAAAAUGCAUGGGUUCCUACGCCGUGAGAACAUUGGAGCGAUAUGAGGAGGAAAGGGAGAGAAUAAACUUUUCGGAAGAUGACGGAAUGGAAAGUUUACGAUUUUUCUUCAUUAAAAGCAGGAUCCAAAAUAAACGUAAUACUUUUUUCUUGAUGGCAGCCUAUGUAGACGGCAACACGACGAACCAUUUUAGUUUUGAUUUGUGCAAUAUCCCAUAUAUCCCAUGGUCUAAAAGGAAUUGUACCGGUUGGCCACGUUCAAGAGAGUGGGGUUACGAAUCGACUCAAAUUUCGGACAGUAUAAAACGCGUCGUCUCCUUUCAUUCUGAGCUGAACAAAGGAACGAUAGAUACCCUCCCUACCAUACGAUAGAAAGAGAGAAAGACAGAGAGAGAGAGAGAGAAAGAGACAGAGAGAGAAAGAGAGACCCUACCACCUUUCAUCAAAACGAAUUGACGACCGCGUGAGAGAGGACUUCAGCUUAAAAAGGGGAAGUAUACAUGAGUAUUCUUCGAAUUUUUUUGUGGUUACCCAAUGAAAAGAAAUCUACGAAACAAUUUGCCGGGGUUCCUGUAAAAGUUCUGCUGGAGUCGUCAACUACUACUACUACUACUACUACUACUACUACACUACUACACUACUGCUACUACACUACUACUACUCUACCACACUACUCUACUACUACUACUACUACACAACGACGCAACGAACGACGUGGACUAUGGAACACACCGCCGACAGAGCCCUCCAAUUUUGUAGGUUCGCGCGUUCUUGUCGACAGAAAAUGUGCAUCGAGCACCCCACCAAAGUGUUUCCUGAACAACGAUGUCUCCAAGAAGAAGACGUAGUAGUAAAGUAAAGUAGACGGUAGUGGCGGCAGUGGCAGUGGCGGCACGACAACAGCACGUAUUCUUCGAUUCUCUGAUAAUUCUUGCCAGAAGAGAUAUAAACUGCUAGAGAAAUCCUGACUUGAAGAAGAUGACGAUGAUGACGACGACGAUGAUGAUGAUGAUGAUGAUGAUGAUGAUGAUGAUGAUGAAGUUGAAGUUGAUAAUGAUGAUUACUAUGGCGAUGGGAUGAAGAUUAUGAUGAAGAAGAAGUGAGGAUGCAAACGACGCUUCGCGUAGGACGUUCUCGAGCAAACUGCUGCUCGUGGCCAGGUGUUCCGCCUCUUUAUUCCUUUUGGCUGCCAUAACAACACGGUUGCUUUCAAGGACUAUUCAUCCGGUCGUUUCUUUCCUUCACCUGGGACAGCUGGAACUUAGGACGACCACGUGCUUCUCUCUCGGCUUCAACGAGCAAUCCCAGCAUAGCAGGUUGCAACGGUUUAUCGUAGGCAUUAAUCGUAUUGUCGAUUAAAGAGGAAUCAACAUAAAUUCAUUCAUAAUAUUUUAAUAUACUCUUAUAGACGGAUACACAUUUUAUUACACCAAUGAUUUAUUAACUAUCUAUUACAAGAUAAAUCCUAAUCAUUGAAAGAAUUAAUUAGAAAUAUAUGAUAUUUUUCAGAUUAUUGCAUCUUACAGUAUC